rnacentral:tRNA from 1 species
GGCCACGUGGCGGAGUGGUUACGCAGCGGACUGCAAAUCCGUGUACUCCGGUUCGAUUCCGGACGUGGCCUCCA